AUGCAGUUUUUAUCUGAAGAAGAAGCUUAUUCCUUCUAUAACAAGUAUGCUUAUUCCAUGGGUUUUAGCAUCCGAAGAGGCAAUCAACAUAAAGUAAAAAAUUCUAGUACAAUACAACAACGGACAUUCACAUGUUCUCGUCAAGGAGUUCGUGCGGAAGAUAAAAGAGAGGAGAAAUUCAGUUAUAGUAGGCCUGAGACACGAUGUGGUUGUGAUGCACGUAUAAAGAUAAGUCUUAAUAAUGGUAUUUAUUAUGUAUACGAAUUUAAGGAAGCCCACAACCAUAGUCUUGCUACUAGAAAUAUGUCGCAAUACUUAAGAUCACACAGGAAACUAACUGAAGCUCAACUAGCCAAUGCUGAGGUCGCAAAGUCAGUGGGCAUUUCAAAUAAAGCAACUAUUGAUCUAAUGACGAAAGAGGCAUGUGGACCUAAAAACCUUGGCUUUAUAAGCACAGACAUGAAAAAUCAUUUGUACUCAAAGAGAACACUAAAAGCAAAGGUGGGUGACACUGGUGGAGUGUUAGAAUAUAUGGAGAAGAAGGUUUCAGAAGAUGUCAAGUUUUUUUAUUCAAUUCAAGUUGAUGAGGAUGAUUUGAUAACUAAUAUAUUUUGGACGGACUCCAAAAUGGUCUCAGACUAUGCAUUAUUUGGUGAUCAUAUGUUUUGA
rnacentral:rRNA from 1 species